rnacentral:ncRNA from 2 species
GUUUCAACGCUGGGGUGCCUUAAUACAACGGGCUGAGAUCAUACCCAAUGAACCUGAUGCCGAUAAUGCGGUCGCAGGGAUUUUGGUUAAGGAAAAU